rnacentral:rRNA from 1 species
AGAGUUUGAUCCUGGCUCAGGAUGAACGCUAGCGACAGGCCUAACACAUGCAAGUCGAGGGGCAGCACAUGAGUAGCAAUACGAUGGUGGCGACCGGCGCACGGGUGAGUAACACGUAUGCAACCUGCCUUCUACUAUGGGAUAACCCGUUGAAAGACGGACUAAUACCGUAUAAUACAGGGGCUCCGCAUGGAGAUAUUUGUUAAAGAUUUAUUGGUAGAAGAUGGGCAUGCGUAUGAUUAGAUAGUUGGUGAGGUAACGGCUCACCAAGUCAACGAUCAUUAGGGGUUCUGAGAGGAAGGUCCCCCACACUGGUACUGAGACACGGACCAGACUCCUACGGGAGGCAGCAGUGAGGAAUAUUGGUCAAUGGACGAGAGUCUGAACCAGCCAAGUCGCGUGAAGGAAGACGGUUCUAUGAAUUGUAAACUUCUUUUGUGCAGGAAUAAAGUGGGUUACGUGUAACCUUUUGUAUGUACUGUACGAAUAAGGAUCGGCUAACUCCGUGCCAGCAGCCGCGGUAAUACGGAGGAUCCGAGCGUUAUCCGGAUUUAUUGGGUUUAAAGGGUGCGUAGGUGGAUUGAUAAGUCAGCGGUGAAAGUUUGCAGCUUAACUGUAAAAUUGCCGUUUGAAACUGUCGGUCUUGAGUGCAAAUGAGGUAGGCGGAAUGUGUUGUGUAGCGGUGAA